rnacentral:lncRNA from 1 species
GCAAGAACCAGCACGGCAAGAGUAAGGAAGAUCGAUUCCGGCUUCCUCCGCCGCGUCGAGGACGUAAACGUCGUCGUCGCACUCAACCUCUUGCUCUCCUUCCGGUGUGAUAAAUUUGACCUUGUAUGUAGCCAUGGCUGUGACGCGUCCGCCGCGUGAGGUGGCUGAUUUGAGACCGAAGAGGGAUUGAGUGUUGCCUGAUGGGAGGGAACGGAGGCUGAUCGGAGCUGUUUGACGGCGGAUGAAGGAUGUUCCGACGAUGGCGCUUGAGAGAGCUGUGGAAGCCAUUUUUUCUGUGUUUUAGAUUUUUAGAUGAUUUGAGAGAUUUUUGGGUUUCUUCUCUCUGUGUUAUGGCUUGUGGAAAUGGCGUGGAGAGUGUGAAGGAGAAGAGAGAGGAUUAAAAAGGUGGGAUUGUUGUGGAAUCCUAUCUUCCACGUGGCGUUUAUCGUGUGGAUCGUUAGAUUAUCGUCUCUCUUUUUUUUUUGGUGAUUUUGUGUUUUCUAUUUGUGUGUGUAUGAGUGAUUGUGUUCGACACACUUUGCACUAUCUUAUUGUGGUGAGUUAUUCGUGGUCUCACUUGGUACAGCGCACAGAUUUAUUUCUACUUCUUGUUUGUAUCUAAAAUAAAUAACUCGUCAUAUGUUUUCUUUAAAUUGUUAGAAAAUGUCAACCAAGUGAUAUUUUUUAUUUCUAAGAUGAAAAUGUAUGAAUUACAAGAUUUGAGAUAAUGGAAAAAAGACCAAAUUAGAAAUUAAGUUUCUGAACCAACAAUAUCUCUGAAUCCUAAAUUAAAUAGAGCAGAUUCCACUUUACCAAAAGGGGGGAGAUUAAACAAAAAAAAAAAGAAGAAGAAGAAUGAAAACAAAAAGAACUCCCCCAAGCAAAAAAAAAAAAAAAGAUAUCAAGAAGAAUAUGAUAUAAGUUGGAUUUUGAAUCACCCAUACAACCUUCUCCUCCACAAUGAUUCCCCACUUUCCCUUGUUUAUAAAUCUAAACCCGUAAGAGGCUUUCUCUCUAACAGACUUAACUGCCUCUACGAUCCAACUUUACCGCUUUUUUUUUUUGGUUUGGUAAUUUUCUCUCUAGUCGCACUUGAUGUUUCUGUAGAUCCUUCUAACAAACAGAUUUGAUCCUAAGAACCCAACAGCUCCUGCACAAUUUUUCCAAUUACCAAAACAAUCUUCAGAAAAUACCAAAUCUUGUAGUGAGGCGAGAGAGUGAAACAAGAAAAGAAAAAAAACUAACCACAAAGGAUUCCGAGGCCGAGACAGAACAUCAAGGUGUAUCCAAAGUAGAAGCUGGUCUGGAAAAACCCAAACAUCUUGGUCUUUACGUAGUAGUAAUAGAUCGAGUAUAAGUAGACAUAAACAGCGGUCGAAGCAGCAGAGAAGAACGAUGUCCAUUGCCAGUGAUAGUUCUCCGCAUUCAACAAGAAAUACGUCCCCACGAUCGUCACACAAACGGUCACCACAACAAGUAUCAAAAAUACAAGAAGCAUGAACCCGUAUACAUAGUAUACCUGUCAAUGAAACCCAACAUCAUCAAGAAAUGUCACGGUACUUUUUUACACACAAGUCUCGGAUUUGUAAAGAUAUUUUUGUUACCUUGUAAUUCCAGAACGAUGUGAAAACGAAGUACAUUUCAAUGAAGAUGCUGCCAAAGGGUAAGAGACCUCCCAUAAGAGAGACUACAGAUGGAGUCAAGUACCACUUUUUCUCAGGGAUUGGACGUGGGAUUGUCUUCACACGGCAUGGAUUGUUUGGAGCACCACUCCAGUUUCUACCGACGACUGUCCCGAGGAGAGCGAGAGGGAACGAAAUGAAACCCCAGAUUACGAAAACCACCACCAUUGUUCCGAAGGGAAUAGCCGCAAGAGAUCCGUAGAAUAUGGCGAUUGUGUUUAGGAGGAAUCCGAUCCCGAAGCACAAGAAUGGGAAGAGAGAAGCUGUGAGGAUCAUGCACUUGAUCCAAUGUUUACCUGAACAAACAAGCAUAAGAGAAUGAGUCUAGGGAAGGUAUAUUUAUUGGAGAGCUUGCUGCAUUCCAGAUAGGAGGAUAUAUAACGUACCCCCACUUCUUGAGUACAUUCCACCACUCACAUAACCAGAGAUAAAUGACGUCAGAGCGUAGCAAACAAUGAAAGUUGUAACAAUUGCGCCUCUCCUGAAUAGAGUUAAACCAGGAUAAGAGGUUUAAAUGGCUAGAAUGUUUUUAUUCAAACAAAAGACAAACUCUUAUUCCAUGGGAAAUAACAACAUGAGAAGUUGACUGAAACUUAGAAGAGUGUAAUACAUACCCAACAUAAAGUGUACCGAUGAUUGCCAUUAAUAUGACAAGAAGAACAAGUAAAGCCAACUGUGCACCUGUACCAACAACAGCCGAGAGAAGAACCAGACUACGUGGUGGUCGGAACACAUCUCCGUGUACGAGUUUCCAUCCAGAUUCUUCACUUACAUCCCGUUCCUGUGCUCAAUAAUACCAAUUGUCAGAAGUUGCUCCAAAUUCUUUGCACUUAAAAUGAAGGUAAAAUUGACAAGUUGACAUCAUAAUAGUAGUAGCAAGAGAACUUCUGAAGCCAUUCUAGAUAUGAGGUUGAGGACACAUUACCAGGCUCUCCAGGUCGUCGUCUUCCCGAGCAUAUUUCGCAUAAUCGUUUCUGAGAGUCCUCAUUAAUAUCAUUGAGACCAAACCAGUAAGGAAGAUAACCAUCAUGAACGAGUUAAAGAUGGAGAACCAAUGGAUCUGCAUGAUGAACAAAUUCCUUAAAAACCCUCCAAGAAAAAAAAUAUUUUGAGACAAGGUUGUAGCAGUUUAAUCAACGAGCAAGUAAAGGAGCAUUCAGAGUAAUAUGUAUCAAAUUAUGAAGCAAAUAUCAAUUAAGGUCUGAUAGCAGAAGGAUAAAACCAUAAGACAUGCUAUAAUUUACCUGGUGCUCGAAGAAUGGAUAGUCUAGAUAAACAUCAAAACGACGAGCAAAUGUGACAUUGGUUGGAAUCCAAUUCACAGAAUACGUCAAGUCCACCGUUCUCCCUGCUUCUAACGGCCUUGGGUUGUCUUGUGUAAGAUUUACAUGAAUAAUCUAUGCAAAGAAAAAAAAAAGAUCACGAGAAAGUUCAUUUGAGAUCUAUAAGACUGCUUAAUGGGAAAAAAAAAAAAACAACCAACCUGGUCUUUGUUGUAUUUGAUAAUAAUAUUCUUAUGAGUGUAAAGAACAUGCUUGCCGUUUUCACUAUUUUUACCAGGUGGCAGUUCGCCCACAAACCCUAUAACAACAAUGAGAUAGUUAAAAUUAUGUUCAGAACCGAAAUUGAAAAUUGGAUGUUUAAAGUGAAUAUAAGAAAUCACAUACCCCACAAAGGCAGAUCAUCUGAACUUGCAUCCACGUACGCCAUAAACAUCAUUUGUGACAAAAAGAAGCAAGACAAAAGAUUAGCAAGCAAAGGAUGCAAAAAAAAUUAGUUACAGUGAUGUACGAACAGUGAAUGUACUGUGAUAUUGUUUGUAGUAUUAGCUCAUUUUCAACAACUGUUACUGCUCAGCAAGGUUAAGUUCCGUUGAUAAGGCAUAGCGAUUUCCAAUUUCAAAAUAUAACAAGCAGCAACAUCUUUUACAAUCGAGGGAAUCAACUUUUCUGUGAGACUUUCUUCAUCAGUAAUGAGUACAAGUAAAUGAAAUACAUACCCAUAAAUAAUUCAAACCAGUAACUAUUCUCGAUGGCAUCUUUGAAAUGCUUGACCUUAGGUUCAUCAAGUUCCAAUUGACAGAUCACGCUUCUGUCAACAUUUUCUGGGAGUAAAACAGAAGAAGGCAAUAUAAAUAUUAUGCAAUCAAGAUAACAUUUUCGAAGAAAUACUAACAUAAGAAUUGACAUACUCAAGAAUUUUAUGUCUAUCUGGCUGUCGAUGAGCUCAUUUCCCCCAAGAACCUCACCAAGACCACCCCAUUUGUGAACGCUGUUCUCAGUUUUGCGGCAAAACGGGAGGCUGUAAUAGUUAUAUGUUUCUUGUGGAUUAUUAUAAGGGCCAACUUUGUUCACCCACAGAGUAACCUGCUCAUCAGCUUGAUACUGGAAAAGUAAAAUCAGAAGACCAAAUUUCAUGACUUGGAAGAAUUGAGAACAGAUGGAGAAACGUAAGGGAAUAAACCAAAACCCAGUGAGGAUGACAGAGUCAAUUAUAAAGCCUAGAGUGACCCUAGACACAUCGGCGCUCUUGUGGUGCAAUAUUUUGUUUGUUUAGACAAAUCGACAUAAAAUGCAGAUACAAAAAUAGGAAGACAUCAUCCUCUGGUAGAAAAGUGGAAACCAUUACAAAUCUUGUCGCUGCAACACUAUCAACUCCGCAAAAGUAUAGGGCUGUGAUUUAAGGAAGGGUACUUUUCUCUAGCUAGAUUACAAGAUUACUACUGUUAAUGCAUGAUCUGCUUUAUCAAAAAAUCACACCAAAGGGGAAAAAAAGUCGAAACAGCAGUCAAGGUUGAACUAAAUACUUAUUUUAAGAGUAAACGUCAUAAGAAAUCUCAAGGGGGGGAAUGGCAGCCUGAAGGCAACGUCUUGCAGCUCCAGAUCACUAAUUCUAAAAUAAAACAAGAAACCAGAACAAUUUUCUAUCCAAAACUGGCCAUAAUCAAAGGAAUACCUUAGAAACAUUUGACGCUUAUUGCUCACAGCCCUAAAAUCUAUCAAAACUAGAUAACAUACGUAAAACAUCAUCAUUAAAAAAGCUAGACCUAAUUGAAGGAGCAUAUUUCAGUUCCAAUGCUCUCUACUAAAAGUCGCAAAUUGAACAAUGAUCACACCACAGAUCAUCCACUGACAAUGAUCGUUACAAUCAUUAAGCAGUAACUGGACUCAGGACGACUCAAAUCACCCAAAAAAUAGAUACCAUAUCAAAACCUAACUCAUAAUGUCGCAAAAAAAUAAAUAAAUAAACCUACAACACAGUGGAGAAGCUACUUGCUCGAAUUGCAAGGAAAAUAUAAUCAGCUGGAUCAAGCCUCCAAUCCCGAAAAAUUAACAGAUCCGAGUCAAAAAAAAUGAAUACAUAACAACAUGCAACAGCGAGAUCUACGAGCAAAGAACUCGAAUCUAGCUACAGCUAAGAAAAGAAAACGGUAGCCACUAGAGAUUCUCUAACCUUGUGAUCUGACUCAGAGGCCAAAGCCGGAGAGAGAAGAAGGAAGACGCAAGCGACGACGGAGAAAAGAGAUUGGACGGUGGAGGAAGACGGCAUGUCGGAAUCCGGCGAAGAAUCAGAUCUGAGGGAGACGACAGAGACCGACGGUGAUUGAGAAGUGUUAGACCAAUGACUCGUCUCAGAGAUACGAUUCAGGUGGCAUAAAUGUUAUAUGAUGUUACAAAUUUAUGAGCUCUUUAAUUAUUUUCCUCGGAUGCGAGCGAUCGAAGCGAAAGCGUGACCAGAGAUUCUCAGCAUUAUCGUUUUCGUACAGUUAUAUGCACUCGCCUUACUAUAUUUUAUUGGGCCUUAGAAACAAAAAAGCCCAGUAUCAUAAUUUUAUUAGUCGAUUUUAAAAAAUUGGGUUAGACAAAUUACCUCAGAUUUUUUUGUUUUUACCGAAACACCAUAAUUUUUAGUAUUUACUAGGGGAAAAUCGCAUAAAAAACCUUAAAAACGAUACUUACUGACAUUUUAAACCUUAAGAAUAUUUCACUCACACUUUAAACCUUUAAAUUAAAUUUAUUCAAACAAAAAACAUUGAAAUUGGAUAUUUAGUAUGCACCAUCAAAACAUUUAACGGAUUUGUUCAUUUUCCGUUAUAAAUAAUGAUGUAGUAUUAUUUUUUUUUCUACUGAUAAAAUUAAUUUUUAAUAAUUAUCUUAUUAUUUUGUUAGUUAAAAAAAUCACAUAAUCCAUAUCAUUGUGUGUGCUAGUUUGAUAAUUUCAUCGAAUCAUUGGCAAUAUAGACCACACAAGCUAAGAAGACUCAUAUGAGAAUAAAGAUUCUGUAAGUGCAAACCUCAGCCAAAAGAUGGUUGCUAUCUAGGAUGAUUGGUGCUGGCAAUGAGGUUGAUUUCAGUAGAAAAACAACUGCUAUAUGGAAGCAGAUAAAUAGAAUUUGCAGCUCCCACAAAAAAAAAAUAUAAUGAAAUUUCUAUAAAAUAACAAAGCAAUAAAAUGAUGAAUACAGAAAAUAGAAGAAAAUGAAAUGAUGAAUGCAAACAGAUAACAAUCAACAAGGAGGUGAUGAAUACAAAAUAGCAGACAAGAAUAAAAUGAAAUGAUGAAUGCAAACAGAUAACAAUCAACAAGGAAGUGAUGAAUACAAAAUAACAGACAACAAGAGCCAUAGUUAUCAUAGACUCACCUUUCAUCAACAAGAGCCAUACCCAAUUCCUUUGAUAAUUACUAAUUAUCCCAAAACUUAUAAUAUUUUAUAAAUGUAUUGUUGAUAUACGAUAUCACACAAGAGAUCAGAAAUUUAGAUUUUAUUACAUCGGAUAAAAUAUAAUUGAGUUCGUUUAUUGAAGUGAUAAACGAACUAAGACCUAAGAAACUAAAAAGAUAGCAAAUAUCUUCAAUUCUCAGUUUCUAAUUCUUUUGGAAUUUUCUUGUAUCUUUUGGUGUCGAUUCCUCUUACAUGCUCUAAGUCGGUCUUCACGGGACAUCUCCUCGAUAAAGGACCGAGAAGACUUUCUUUUCUCUCGAAAGUUUUCAUUUUCCAUUCGGAAACAUUCUUUUUUCAUCCGAACUCGGGAUCCUUCUCGAUUCCUUUGAGAAGUUGCGACCGACUUUGGCAUAACAGGUCAUGUUCGGUCCAGGAGCUCGCCUGGCCCAAUCUUCCCGGUACAAUUUCUUCGUAAACCGGGCUUAAUCCAUGCUGAUCUCGGUUGUACCGGAGAAAACCGGAAGUGCGGUUUUCACCUCCAACAGUUAGCCCUCCCCCCUCCCCCCUCAGUUCGGCGAAAGUGGGUUGUUUUUUGUCGAACUCAUUCGAGUUAAUUUUAAAAAUUGGGUCACAAACCGAGCUCGGAAAAAUUCUGUCGAUUCGUUUUCCUGGGCGUUUCAAAAUCCGAAUUUAAUGUGGCGCAUGAAUUCCGAGAUUUCGCAGAAAUCGAGGAACCGCGAUUCCCACUGUUUAUUUAUAAUGUGAAACCUACCUCGCAUUCAUUAUUCUUGUAUCUGCAUAUAUAAGGUACGCAGCUCUC